ACAACUUUCAGCAAUGGAUGUCUAGGCUCUCACAACGAUGAAGAACGCAGCGAAAUGCGAUACGUCAUGCGAAUUGCAAUACCUCGUGAAUCAUCAAAAUUUUGAACGCAUAUUGCGCUGUUUGGGAAUUCCUGGCAGCAUGUUUGUCUGAGUGU
rnacentral:rRNA from 1 species